ACGCCUGUGGUGCAACGGUGACACAAACGCCCUAGAAGCGUUGACCUUCGGGUUUGCAGGUUCGAAUCCUGUCAGGCGUACCA
rnacentral:tRNA from 1 species